GACAGAGGAGCCAAGCGUUGUCCGGAUUGACUGGGCGUAAAGCGCACGCAGGCGGGUGCGCGCGUGGGGUGUGAAAUCCCUCGGCUUAACUGAGGACGUGCGGAAGAAACUGCAAGGCUCGAGUCCGGGAGAGGGGGGUGGAAUUGCCCAGUGUAGCGGUGGAAAUGCGUAGAUAUUGGGAGGAACACCGGUGGCGAAGGCGGCCCCCUGGACCGGAACUGCAC
rnacentral:rRNA from 1 species